CCUACGGGAGGCAGCAGUGGGGAAUAUUGCACAAUGGGCGCAAGCCUGAUGCAGCCAUGCCGCGUGUGUGAAGAAGGCCUUCGGGUUGUAAAGCACUUUCAGCGGGGAGGAAGGCGUUAAGGUUAAUAACCUUGUCGAUUGACGCUACCCGCAGAAGAAGCACCGGCUAACUCCGUGCCAGCAGCCGCGGUAAUACGGAGGGUGCAAGCGUUAAUCGGAAUUACUGGGCGUAAAGCGCACGCAGGCGGUCUGUCAAGUCGGAUGUGAAAUCCCCGGGCUCAACCUGGGAACUGCAUUCGAAACUGGCAGGCUAGAGUCUUGUAGAGGGGGGUAGAAUUCCAGGUGUAGCGGUGAAAUGCGUAGAGAUCUGGAGGAAUACCGGUGGCGAAGGCGGCCCCCUGGACAAAGACUGACGCUCAGGUGCGAAAGCGUGGGGAGCAAACAGGAUUAGAUACCCGAGUAGUC
rnacentral:rRNA from 1 species